rnacentral:lncRNA from 1 species
UCUGGUGGAAUGGCUACUCGUCCCUUGAACCAUAAUAAUUCAUUCCUCCAUUCAUAAUUCUGUGCCCCUUCAUCAUCAGAUUCUAGGUGACUUCUUAUUUCUUGAACCCAUGGGCUUUUAGCUGCUUCCCUUUUUAUUUCAUCCCAUAUAACGAAUUGUGGCUCUGAAAUUGCCAAUAGAGUCUGUGACCCCACUUUCCUAGAAAGUGAAUCUGCUGCCCUGUUCUCCUUGCCAGGCCUAUAUACUAUUCCAUAUUCGUAGCGUAGCAACUUUGUGGCCCAUUUCUGUUGCUCUGGGGUGGCUACACGUUGCUCCAAGAAAUACCGCAAGCUGCGUUGGUCGGUUAAGAUCUGAAAUUUUCUACCUAAAAGAUAUGGUCUCCAACAUCGAAUAGCUUCAAGGAUAGCAAGCAUCUCCUUUGAAUAAAUAGGCCAAGCUUUCUUUCCUGGACCCAAUGCUUUACUCAAAAAAGCCACUGGUCUUUCUUGUUGAGACAAUAUAGCUCGAAUACCUACAUCUGAAGCAUCAGUUUCAAUGACAAAAGUUUCAGUAAAAUUAGGAAUGGCCGAUACCGGUGUUGUAGUCAUAGCAAGUUUGAGCAUCUCAAAAGCUUUUACUGCAUUUUCAUCCCAGUGGAAUUGUCCUUUCUUCAACAAUUGUGUUAGAGGGGCUGCAAUAAUUCCGUAAUCACACACAAACUUACGAUAAUACCCCGUAAGUCCUAAGGAACCCCUGAGCUCUGUUAAGUUGGUGGGUCUAGGCCAAUUCUUUUAUGGCUGCAAUCUUACUUUCAUCCACUUGUACUCCGUCAUUCGAAAUUAUGUGCCCCAAAUAAUCCACCUUUGUUUGUCCGAAUGCACACUUAGAGCGUUUAAGGAAAAAUUGUUGAUUGUGCAAAAUUUUAAAAACCACUCUGAUGUGUUCUACAUGCACCUCCCAAGAGCGACUAUACACCAAAAUAUCUUCAAAAAAUACAAGUACAAACUUACAUAAGAACGGCUUGAAGAUGGAAUUCAUGGUGGCUUGGAAUGUUGAAGGCGCAUUACAAAGGCCAAAAGGCACGACGAGAUAUUCGUAAUGUCCACUAUGUGUUCGAAAAGCUGUCUUAUGCACAUCAUCAGGAUGAACUCGAAUUUGAUGGUAUCCAGCUCUAAGGUCAAGCUUGGUGAAAUACUUGGCUCCAUGUAAUUCAUCGAUCAUGUCAUCCACGGUUGGAAUUGGAAAGCGGUCCUUUAUUGUUGCUUCAUUUAGCGUCCUAUAAUCAGUACAAAAACGCCAAGACCCAUCCUUUUUCUUAACCAGUAGGACUGGCGAGGAAAAAGGGCUGCGACUAGGGCGAUGGUCCCAUUUUCCAGCAUUUCCGUCACUUGUCGCUCAAUUUCAUUUUUCUGGAAGUGCGCAUAUCUGUAGGGGCGCACAUUGGUAGCUGAAAUCCCUUCUUUCAAUGGGAUUUGGUGGUCAACUUCUCGAGGAGGGGGCAAGGAACGUGGUUCCUCAAAAAUGGCAGCAAACUCCUUCAG